GUGUUCUGUUUGCUGCCUGGGAUACCUUUUCUGCAGCUUCUGGAACUUGGUAGUUUUGCAUCUAUCUGUGAAGAAUGGGUCCCUUGCCUUGCUCUGCAUUUUCAAAAGUGGCUCCUAUUCAGAUUUAUUUGCAGGUAGCAUUGGUGCACAGAAGACCUAGCCCUUGACUGCAGAGAUCCAAACAAUAAGAGCAUGUAACAGCGCCGUAUGCUUCGUGUAUGUGUGCACGUGUUCCUAAUGCCUCUUCCAGGCUAAGUGCCAGCUGUUAAGGCAGAAGAACACACCACAAGAUUGAAUUCAGCUCACUCAGCCCUCUCCUUCCACUCGGUUUGCCUUCUCCGGUUGCCUGUUGUGCAGUGAAAUUGGAGCCGUGCUGGAGGAUCGCAGCUUGACCGCAGCCAGAUGGUACAAGCCUCGUGCAUAGGGUGCUGCGAGAGAGACGGUGACCUGCGUUUCGCAAACGAGGUGACCAGAAAUACUCAUUUUUUGGCCUCAAGAAGUACUGAAGCCUUUGUCAGGAAAGAAAGAUUAAAACAGAAACCACAGAAUGCAGACCAAAAAUUGGAGGAAGUGGUGAGCGUUUUAAUGACAAAUCCAUUAAAUUUUCCAGUUACUUUUACUCCCAACCUGGCAGGAAUUAUUCUUUUUUCCCCGGUUACUUUGGUUUGCCAACAGCUACA